AUGGAUUCCUAUGGUCUAUGUGAAACUCCUUUCAAGCUUGAUCCGGGACUUUUGUGCUCCGCAGCGUGCGACAUCGAAACAAUGAAAAUUGGAAGUCUUUUGUGUUGUUGUCUUCUCCAACCAUCUGAGAAGGGACCAAUGUAUGAGAAGGAGGCUUUGCUGGAUGUGAGGAGAUGUUGCUGCUCCUGGAUGUGA
rnacentral:rRNA from 1 species